GGGCCCGGCUGGCGGAUGGUGCACGCCGAACGGUCCCUGGCCCUGGGCGGGCCCGGGCCCGCCCAGCUGGAGUUCGACGCGCCGCCGCGCACG
rnacentral:tRNA from 1 species